rnacentral:rRNA from 1 species
UACGUAGGGUGCGAGCGUUAAUCGGAAUUACUGGGCGUAAAGCGUGCGCAGGCGGUUUGUUAAGUCUGAUGUGAAAGCCCCGGGCUCAACCUGGGAACUGCAUUGGAAACUGGCAAGCUCGAGUAUGGCAGAGGGGGGUGGAAUUCCGCGUGUAGCAGUGAAAUGCGUAGAGAUGCGGAGGAACACCGAUUGCGAAGGCAGCUCACAAAGCUGUAACUGACACUGAGGCUCGAAAGUGCGUGGAUCAAACAGG